rnacentral:rRNA from 1 species
UUAAGCGACUAAGCGUACACGGUGGAUGCCCUGGCAGUCAGAGGCGAUGAAGGACGUGCUAAUCUGCGAUAAGCGUCGGUAAGGUGAUAUGAACCGUUAUAACCGGCGAUUUCCGAAUGGGGAAACCCAGUGUGUUUCGACACACUAUCAUUAACUGAAUCCAUAGGUUAAUGAGGCGAACCGGGGGAACUGAAACAUCUAAGUACCCCGAGGAAAAGAAAUCAACCGAGAUUCCCCCAGUAGCGGCGAGCGAACGGGGAGCAGCCCAGAGCCUGAAUCAGUGUGUGUGUUAGUGGAAGCGUCUGGAAAGGCGCGCGAUACAGGGUGACAGCCCCGUACACAAAAAUGCACAUACUGUGAGCUCGAUGAGUAGGGCGGGACACGUGGUAUCCUGUCUGAAUAUGGGGGGACCAUCCUCCAAGGCUAAAUACUCCUGACUGACCGAUAGUGAACCAGUACCGUGAGGGAAAGGCGAAAAGAACCCCGGCGAGGGGAGUGAAAAAGAACCUGAAACCGUGUACGUACAAGCAGUGGGAGCACAGAGCAAUCUGUGUGACUGCGUACCUUUUGUAUAAUGGGUCAGCGACUUAUAUUCUGUAGCAAGGUUAACCGAAUAGGGGAGCCGAAGGGAAACCGAGUCUUAACUGGGCGUUAAGUUGCAGGGUAUAGACCCGAAACCCGGUGAUCUAGCCAUGGGCAGGUUGAAGGUUGGGUAACACUAACUGGAGGACCGAACCGACUAAUGUUGAAAAAUUAGCGGAUGACUUGUGGCUGGGGGUGAAAGGCCAAUCAAACCGGGAGAUAGCUGGUUCUCCCCGAAAGCUAUUUAGGUAGCGCCUCGUGAAUUCAUCUCCGGGGGUAGAGCACUGUUUCGGCAAGGGGGUCAUCCCGACUUACCAACCCGAUGCAAACUGCGAAUACCGGAGAAUGUUAUCACGGGAGACACACGGCGGGUGCUAACGUCCGUCGUGAAGAGGGAAACAACCCAGACCGCCAGCUAAGGUCCCAAAGUCAUGGUUAAGUGGGAAACGAUGUGGGAAGGCCCAGACAGCCAGGAUGUUGGCUUAGAAGCAGCCAUCAUUUAAAGAAAGCGUAAUAGCUCACUGGUCGAGUCGGCCUGCGCGGAAGAUGUAACGGGGCUAAACCAUGCACCGAAGCUGCGGCAGCGACGCUGAUGCGUUGUUGGGUAGGGGAGCGUUCUGUAAGCCUGUGAAGGUGUGCUGUGAGGCAUGCUGGAGGUAUCAGAAGUGCGAAUGCUGACAUAAGUAACGAUAAAGCGGGUGAAAAGCCCGCUCGCCGGAAGACCAAGGGUUCCUGUCCAACGUUAAUCGGGGCAGGGUGAGUCGACCCCUAAGGCGAGGCCGAAAGGCGUAGUCGAUGGGAAACAGGUUAAUAUUCCUGUACUUGGUGUUACUGCGAAGGGGGGACGGAGAAGGCUAUGUUGGCCGGGCGACGGUUGUCCCGGUUUAAGCGUGUAGGCUGGUUUUCCAGGCAAAUCCGGAAAAUCAAGGCUGAGGCGUGAUGACGAGGCACUACGGUGCUGAAGCAACAAAUGCCCUGCUUCCAGGAAAAGCCUCUAAGCAUCAGGUAACAUCAAAUCGUACCCCAAACCGACACAGGUGGUCAGGUAGAGAAUACCAAGGCGCUUGAGAGAACUCGGGUGAAGGAACUAGGCAAAAUGGUGCCGUAACUUCGGGAGAAGGCACGCUGAUAUGUAGGUGAAGUCCCUCGCGGAUGGAGCUGAAAUCAGUCGAAGAUACCAGCUGGCUGCAACUGUUUAUUAAAAACACAGCACUGUGCAAACACGAAAGUGGACGUAUACGGUGUGACGCCUGCCCGGUGCCGGAAGGUUAAUUGAUGGGGUCAGCGCAAGCGAAGCUCUUGAUCGAAGCCCCGGUAAACGGCGGCCGUAACUAUAACGGUCCUAAGGUAGCGAAAUUCCUUGUCGGGUAAGUUCCGACCUGCACGAAUGGCGUAAUGAUGGCCAGGCUGUCUCCACCCGAGACUCAGUGAAAUUGAACUCGCUGUGAAGAUGCAGUGUACCCGCGGCAAGACGGAAAGACCCCGUGAACCUUUACUAUAGCUUGACACUGAACAUUGAGCCUUGAUGUGUAGGAUAGGUGGGAGGCUUUGAAGUGUGGACGCCAGUCUGCAUGGAGCCGACCUUGAAAUACCACCCUUUAAUGUUUGAUGUUCUAACGUUGACCCGUAAUCCGGGUUGCGGACAGUGUCUGGUGGGUAGUUUGACUGGGGCGGUCUCCUCCUAAAGAGUAACGGAGGAGCACGAAGGUUGGCUAAUCCUGGUCGGACAUCAGGAGGUUAGUGCAAUGGCAUAAGCCAGCUUGACUGCGAGCGUGACGGCGCGAGCAGGUGCGAAAGCAGGUCAUAGUGAUCCGGUGGUUCUGAAUGGAAGGGCCAUCGCUCAACGGAUAAAAGGUACUCCGGGGAUAACAGGCUGAUACCGCCCAAGAGUUCAUAUCGACGGCGGUGUUUGGCACCUCGAUGUCGGCUCAUCACAUCCUGGGGCUGAAGUAGGUCCCAAGGGUAUGGCUGUUCGCCAUUUAAAGUGGUACGCGAGCUGGGUUUAGAACGUCGUGAGACAGUUCGGUCCCUAUCUGCCGUGGGCGCUGGAGAACUGAGGGGGGCUGCUCCUAGUACGAGAGGACCGGAGUGGACGCAUCACUGGUGUUCGGGUUGUCAUGCCAAUGGCACUGCCCGGUAGCUAAAUGCGGAAGAGAUAAGUGCUGAAAGCAUCUAAGCACGAAACUUGCCCCGAGAUGAGUUCUCCCUGACUCCUUGAGAGUCCUGAAGGAACGUUGAAGACGACGACGUUGAUAGGCCGGGUGUGUAAGCGCAGCGAUGCGUUGAGCUAACCGGUACUAAUGAACCGUGAGGCUUAACCUU